GUGCUGGCUUGAGGGGUACAUAUACUAAAAUUGAAACAAUGUCAAGAAGAUCAGCAUGGUC
rnacentral:snRNA from 1 species